rnacentral:misc_RNA from 1 species
UGUUUGUGUGAGUGUACGUGGUAGUGUUGGCGGCAGGUUCGCCAGUAGUAGUGGUGGUGGUGGUGAUGGUAGCGGGUGUGGUGACAGUGGUGUUGGUGGCGGUGGUGGUGAGAGUGAGUGCAAAGGUGUCAGUGUGUUGUGUUGCAUCGAGGAAGACAAACAAGUAUUUGAGUUUCCCAUGUGCCAAGAAAGUAUGCAGAGCGGGGAGGCCAUACACCAUCAUGACCAGCCCAUGACGGUGCCGCCCAUCCCCGCCCCAGCAGCAGCGUCUCCACCCAUUACCUCUCCUCCAGCCAUCGCCUCCCUGCCCGCCAACUCCCCAACACUCACCUCCUCCCCGCCCGUCACCUCGCCCUCGCUGGCCUCCUCCCCACCCCUCACCCCGAACGUCUCACAGUCUCCCCUCACGUCCCGCUCCAACUUGAGAAUCACCACCUCGUCCUUGGCCACGAAGCUGCGUCUGAAUCAAGUGCAGGGCAACCACGCCGUGUCUCCCCCAAGGACGUCGCUCAUUGGCCAGGACGAGGACGAGGGGCGGAGCGACAUCAAGGUCCUCUCCCCGUCAUUGGUCAACAGUCAAGUCCUGUCCAAAACGCGUCCCUUGUCCCCUGACCCGCCCGACCCGCCCCUCCCGCCGCCGCCACCGCCGCCGCCGCCCCCCAUCACAGCCCUCUACAAUGGCGAGAGGUUACCGGAGCAAGAUGGCAUGCUGGGACGGUGGAGGGGCGAGGAAGGAAGAGGAGGAAGACAACGAGGAGGAGGAGGAGGAGGAGGAAGCGAGGCGGGUGAUUCUCAAGAGGACCCGGAGAAGAUCACGAAGGGAAGAGGAAGAGGGAGAGUGGGUCGGCGGCGGCAGAGGCAACACAAGCUGAAGUUCCACCACCAGGCGCUGCCUCCCGAGUACCUGGACCACUACGAGGCGUCUCUGCGGCAGGAGCAGCGCGCCGCGGCGGCAGCGGCGGCAGCGGCGGCAGCCUCCCCCCCUGCCCCGCGACCCCCGCGCGAGUCUUUGGACCCUAAUCCCCCGCACGGAGCAGGAGCUGGAGUGCAGGGUGGAGUGCCACGGCAGGGGAGGGGCGGGCGCGGGCGGGGGCGCGGGCGGGGUCAGCGUGCCCCGCGGCCCAUCACUAUCCACGAGGCGGGCGGGGCGGCCACCGAGGCUCUGCUGCGAGAACUGCUUCUGACCCGCCCACACCUGCAGCAGGCAGCGCUCACCCAGGCCGCCCUCGCCCGCGCCCAGUCUGUGCCCUCCAUCAUGCUGGCCACGCCGCCAAGAGGACGCCGCGCCCCCAGCCCAGCCAUUCCUGCCCACGACCAGCAGCUGCCCUACAUGGGCGAGAUGCAGCUGGACGAGCGGCCUCGACGCGGCAGGAAACCCAAGAAGGCCGACAUCACCCACCUUAUCUCUAAAAACUACGGUGUGGCGGGUCUUCCCGGCUCUGGGGCGCUGCACGAGGCUGCGCUGCAGCAGCUGCACCAGCAGUUGCAACUUCAUCAACAGCAACAACAGCAGCAGCAGCAACAGCAGCAACAACACUACCACUAUCACUACCCGCAGGCGCAGCACCAUCAUGAUCGUCAGCGGGGUACCGAUGAGGAGGGCGCCGCGGGAGUGCCGGAGGAGGGCCUCACUCGGGCCCGCAGCUACUCGUCGCUGCUGCACACAGCCCUCACGGCGGUGGAGGCCGGGGACCAGAGCGAGCCCCUCAACCUGUGUGUGCGGGACGACCCGGGGCUCAAGUGCGACCCGGAGCACCCUGCGCAGGGCCACCACCACACCCCGCCCGUCAAGCUGGAGCCUGACGAGGACCCCCCCGCUGUGGAGGCUGCGUGGGUGGGAGGCGUGCGGGGGGGCGGGCCCUACUGGCUGCAGGACUACCGCCUCAAGACGGAGGACGGACUCAGCUCAGGCCAAUCCACGCCCUCCCUCUGCUCCCAGUCCUCCCACCUACCCUCCCUCUCACCCCCAGCCUUUCCCCAUAUGUCCCCUCCGCCCCCCUUCCCCAUGAUGGGAUGUCCUCAGUCUCCGCCCUGCCCUUCCCCACUGCCCGCCUCUCCCGCCCACCAUCACCGCAACGUGCACGCCCUUGUCAAGGAGUCGCUGCAGCAGCGGUUAGACGAGACGGCCAGAGAGCGGCUGUCUCCGCAGGAGGGCGUGGCCAGGGCGCGGGGCGGAGAGGGGCGGGGGUCGCGGGCCGCUGGACACGGGGCGCGAAGAAAGCGGUCGGCGCUGUUCAUCCCCCCCGCGGAUCCCAACACUGAGGUCAGCAUCUGCAAGUUCAAGUUCACGGGCGGCCCUAACCCCGUGCUGGAGGAGAAGAAGAUGGUGAGCGUGGGGGCGGGGGGCCGCCUGCGCUACUGUGGCGCGGGGGGCGGGGCAGGUGGGGGACGGGACCUGCGACUCUCGGGGAAGCUUAUCGAAAACAUUACCAAGUGUGAGAAAGACGUGAAGAAGAUCCGCCUGGAGAGUGACACUGAGGACACGUGCAGCCUGCCGGGCCUGGGCAGCGCCGCCACCUCGCCCGUGCACACACUAGAGCGCGGCACUGCGCCGCCCGCGCAAGAAGAGUCCCCUAAGCGAAAACGACGCUCCAAAAAGUCCUCGGUGCGGGAGAAGCUAGAGCAGACGCUGCGGGAGCGGGGCCUGCUCAUCCAGACCCAGCAGGUGGAGUCUGCCGAGGGCGCCACCUACUGCAAGUUUCGUCAGUUGCGCAAGUUCACCCGCUACCUCUUCCGGAGCUGGAAGGACUACCUGCCGGGCCAGCUGCAGGAGGGCGGCGGCGGGCCACUCGAGGGGUACUCUGACACCCGCGCCCCGCCCUUCCCCACUCAUCUGGUGCGGCAGCCGCCCUCUCCCGACCAUCGCUGACCCAUCCCUCCUGGGCACUGGCGGCCAGCAGCGGGGAGGGCGAUGAUGGCCCGCCGCCCAGAGGUCCUGCUGCAGAAAGUACAAGAGUUCGCCGGGGCGCGCCGUGCCCCUGCGAGGUACCCUACGUGACCCUUGGCCACAUCCUGCGGCGGCGGGGUCCCGGGGCCGGAGGUCAGGGCGGGCGAGCACUCAGUCGUCUUUCAUAACACAAACUGGAGAAGCCAUUCUAAAACGACUAAUAUUCUUUCUUAGGAAGGUCCUAAUGUAAACUGUCGUCCUCCUAACCAUCCAAAGCUUUAACGACUAUUGGCAUUACAAACCUGUUCCCAAGCUGUUCACGUUGACAUCGGUUUUGUUGCCCCUCGUAAACGAUAAACACAACGAUGUUUUCGUUUGACAAUUCUACAUUGUAAUCUUUCCCGUUGGAGGACAAUCAGUUGUAGUAUUUCUAAUAAUAACGUCUCAGGUACAAAGUGUGUCGGGGCGCGGCGCGGGGCGGGGCGGGACUGAGCGAGGCGAGCCGGGGCAGGGCGGCACCCGGGGCGGCGUGACCACCACCACCACCACGGCCAGGAUUGUCCUUAAAGCUACUCCUCUGUCAAACCAAGCUGUUGCGCUGGCUGUGUUCAAGGCUGCCGAGCCAGCAAGCAAGCAAGGAAGAUGUGCCUGUGACCAGUGACCAGUGCUGCGUGGUGGGCGUGCACGUGGCGCCUCGGGGCGGGUGGGGAUGAGGGAGAGGAAGAGUGCCAAACAGAUUAAGAAACAGAAAGAAAGUAACACGUGCAAUGAGCCAGACAGCAAACACACCCUGGCCGCUCCAUCACUGCCGCGGCCGCCGUUGACCACCACAGUGCAGUGUGUUGGCAACCCUGGUGUUGUGUGCCGAGUCUGCCACCACGGCGACGACUGCCUCUGAGGGGCGGCGCGCGCCUCACAUCUGCUGGUAAACAGGAGAAUAGAUAACCAAAUGCUGUGAUUCUCGCCAAUGUUCAGUUUUUAUCACGCUUGACCCUCGUUCAUGGCUGGGGCGGGCGGGCGGGCUGGCUCCUCGACCUGACCCACGGACACACACAUGGCGCUCCUUCGUCGGCCACCACGUGUGUUUGUCCUUGCUUAUUGUGUUUAUUUUUAUUUCCGUUAACGUGCAUCCCUUUGUUCUGGUGUUUUGUGAGUCACCUACAGUUUUUUUUGUUUUGUUUUGUUCAUCUAUUUGUUUUCUUUUUUGUAGAUGAGACAGUGGCUGCCGUUUGUAUUAGUGACAUGUAUAUGAAAUUUUAACGUGUGAUAUUGUUUAGGUAGCAGAAUGCAAUGAUCUUUUAUUUGGGUUUUCUCCCUCCCCUCCCCGUAGUGUGUGUGCGUUGAGAUGUGUUGAUCACGUCAUGUAGAAAAGAGAAAAAGUUUUAUUUACUGUUAAAUUAUCAAUGUAUACACAAAUUCCCGUCGAGUUUCGUGACGUGUUGUGAAGGUUCCCGCGUUUCAUGUAGUGAGAAAGUCUCUUUAUUGACUAUUUUUGUAUGUAUAUAUACGUAUGUAUAGAGAGAGAAAGACAAAUCCUAUCUGUUUUUACCAAAGGAAUGUUAUCGAAGAAACAAUAGAAAAUAAUAUCCAGAGUGGCAUUUAUCGAGAAACAGAACAAAAAACAUAGAAAAACUCCCUGCCAGAAAGCGGUGUUGAGGCGACGGCGGUGCACUGUGGGUGGAAAGCGAAACCAAAACAAGGGAGCAUCGCGACGAGAGGUUUGAGAGAAGGUGAAUCCACGAAGAAGGCAAAGGCAGCCUCGCUCGUGUCCAGACCAAGAUCUUCCCGCGCGUCAACACACACCAAGACCUUCUGUACAUUACGUAUACCUUCUGUGUAUAUUUAUGCUCCAUAAUGCCUUGUAUAAACGACAUAGGACUAAUAUAUUUAGCAGAGAGGAAAACAGUAAUCCAGGAGGGUGAAGGGCAGGUGUGUGUGUGUGUGUGUGUGUGUGUGUGUGUGUGUGUAGGGUGACGGAGGGGUAUGUACGUUCAUGUGUGUGCCAGUAAGGGUGGUAAAGAGGACAUGUACGUGUGUUUAUGUAUACGUACAUGUAGCAGAGGGAGUGUGUGUGUGUGUGUGUGUGUGUGUGUGUGUGUGUGUGUGUGUGUGUGUGUGUGUGUGUGUGUGUGU